rnacentral:rRNA from 1 species
GACGAACGCUGGCGGCGUGCUUAACACAUGCAAGUCGAACGGAAAGGCCCUGCUUUUGUGGGGUGCUCGAGUGGCGAACGGGUGAGUAACACGUUAUUAACCUGCCCUUUACUUUGGGAUAACUUCAGGAAACUGGGGCUAAUACCGGAUAGGAGCUCCUGCUGCAUGGUGGGGGUUGGAACGUUUCGGCGGUUGGGGAUGGACUCGCGGCUUAUCAGCUUGUUGGUGGGGUAGUGGCUUACCAAGGCUUUGACGGGUAGCCGGCCUGAGAGGGUGACCGGCAACAUUGGGAAUGAGAGACGGCCCAGAAUGCUACGGGAGGCAGCAGUGGGGAAUAUUGCACAAUGGGCGGAAGCCUGAUGCAGCAACGCCGCGUGCGGGAUGACGGCCUUCGGGUUGUAAACCGAUUUCGCCUGUGACGAAGCGUGAGUGACGGUAAUGGGUAAAGAAGCACCGGCUAACGACGUG